rnacentral:rRNA from 1 species
UACGUAGGGUGCAAGCGUUAUCCGGAAUUAUUGGGCGUAAAGAGCUCGUAGGCGGUUUGUCGCGUCUGCUGUGAAAACUGGAGGCUCAACCUCCAGCCUGCAGUGGGUACGGGCAGACUAGAGUGCGGUAGGGGAGAUUGGAAUUCCUGGUGUAGCGGUGGAAUGCGCAGAUAUCAGGAGGAACACCGAUGGCGAAGGCAGAUCUCUGGGCCGUAACUGACGCUGAGGCACGAAAGCUAGGGGAGCAAACAGG